UGGGGAAUUUUGCACAAUGGGGGAAACCCUGAUGCAGCGACGCCGCGUGAUUUAGAAGGCCUUCGGGUUGUAAAAAUCUUUUUUACGGGAUGAAAAUGACAGUACCGUAAGAAUAAGGUCCGGCUAAAUACGUGCCAGCAGCCGCGGUAAUACGUAUGGACCGAGCGUUGUCCGGAAUCAUUGGGCGUAAAGGGUACGUAGGCGGCCUAGUAAGUUAGAAGUGAAAUAAUAUAGCUCAACUAUAUAAAGCUUUUAAAACUGCUAGGCUUGAGAGAUGGAAGGGAAAGUGGAAUUCCUAGUGUAGCGGUGAAAUGCGCAGAUAUUAGGAAGAAUUCCGGUGGCGAAGGCGACUUUCUGGUCAUCAUCUGACGCUGAGGUACGAAAGCGUGGGUAGCAAACAGG
rnacentral:rRNA from 1 species